GGAGUCGGCCAGACAGUCGCGUCAUCCCAUGCCUGCAUGGGGUGCCGAGGAAAGUCCGGGCUCCACAGGGCACGGUGCCAGGUAACGCCUGGGCGGCGCGAGCCGACGGAAAGUGCAACAGAAAGAUACCGCCGAACGGUCCUGUCACCCCUUUGCUGCCUUCAUGACGAAGCGGCUGUACUUGACGGCAAAGCCGGCCAAGUGGCUCGCGGAGACGGCAGAGGGGUGGCAGGAUGCGUGGCAAGGGUGAAAUGGUGCGGUAAGAGCGCACCGCGAGUCUGGCAACAGACCGGCACGGCAAACCCCACCGGGAGCAAGACCAAAUAGGGAGGCUAUGCUGCGGCCCGCAGUGUCUCCGGGUAGGUUGCUUGAGCGCAGCGGUGACGUUGCGCCUAGAGGAAUGACUGUCCACGACAGAACCCGGCUUACCGGCCGGCUCCGCCG
rnacentral:RNase_P_RNA from 1 species